AUUGAACGCUGGCGGCAGGCCUAACACAUGCAAGUCGAGCGGCAGCGGGAAAGUAGCUUGCUACUUUUGCCGGCGAGCGGCGGACGGGUGAGUAAUGCCUGGGAAAUUGCCCAGUCGAGGGGGAUAACAGUUGGAAACGACUGCUAAUACCGCCUACGCCCUACGGGGGAAAGCAGGGGACCUUCAGGCCUUGCGCGAUUGGAUAUGCCCAGGUGGGAUUAGCUAGUUGGUGAGGUAAUGGCUCACCAAGGCGACGAUCCCUAGCUGGUCUGAGAGGAUGAUCAGCCACACUGGAACUGAGACACGGUCCAGACUCCUACGGGAGGCAGCAGUGGGGAAUAUUGCACAAUGGGGGAAACCCUGAUGCAGCCAUGCCGCGUGUGUGAAGAAGGCCUUCGGGUUGUAAAGCACCUUCAGCGAGGAGGAAAGGUCAGUAGCUAAUACCUGCUGACUGUGACGUUACUCGCAGAAGAAGCACCGGCUAACUCCGUGCCAGCCGCCGCAGUAAAAC
rnacentral:rRNA from 1 species